UUGAAUGAGAUGCCUGUUUUUUACAACCUUAAUGUUGUUGAAAAGCGUGAAGUUCUCAUAGUUAUUUUGCAAAUUGUGCGCAAUCUUGAUGAUGCAUCACUUGUGAAGGCAUGGCAGCAGAGCAUUGCAAGGACUAGAUUAUUUUUCAAACUCAUGGAGGAAUGCCUAAGUCUUUUUGAGCACAGAAGGUCUGCUGAUGGCAUGCUUAUGGGUUCUAGUUCUCGUAGUCUUGUUGGGGAUGCACCUGCUUCCCCUAAGUACUCUGAUAGACUUUCUCCGACAAUCAACAAUUAUCUGUCUGAGGCAUCAAGACAAGAAGUCAGACCUCAGGGAACACCUGAAAAUGGAUAUUUGUGGCAAAUAGUAAAUUCUCAGUUAAGUUCUCCUAGCCAGCCAUAUUCAUUGAGAGAGGCUCUGGCUCAGGCACAAUCUUCUAGAAUUGGAGCUUCUGCUCAGGCUCUUAGAGAAUCUUUGCACCCAUUAUUGAGGCAAAAACUGAAAAUUGAGGAUGGGACUUGAGAAGCUAGCUUGCAAGUUAUGAUUAAACAGGUUUUGGCAUAAAGGAUUUAACCAAUUUUGAUGUUAUUGUUGUGGUACACUUUCAAAGUUAGGGUUCUACUUAGCAGAUAAAACUGCUUCAUAAAUUUGAGUGUUUCAGGAACUAGAGAGAAAGAGCACAACAGCUGCUGCACUCAAGUCACUUCAACAUAAACUUGAGAAAUACAAGAUAAAGUUGAACAACUCGUAUAAGAAUACUCGAGUAUACUUAUAACUUGUUCAUGUUGCACAAAACUGAUUACAAGGACAAGAAGAAGAAAUAUAUGUUGUUUGACAAUGAAUUUAGUGUUUUAUUAUAUUUGUAAUUUUUAUUAGAGUAAAUGAUUUUUAUUUGAAUGGUUAAUUAUUUACUUUGUAAAUCUA